GAUGAACGCUAGUGGCAGGCCUAAUACAUGCAAGUCGAACGAUAGAGGAGGGCUUGCUCUCUUCGAAAGUGGCGCACGGGUGCGUAACGCGUAUGCAACCUACCUUAAUCAGGGGGAUAGCCCGAAGAAAUUCGGAUUAACACCGCAUAGAAUCACAGUACAGCAUUGUACAAUGAUCAAAUAUUUAUAGGAUUAAGAUGGGCAUGCGUGACAUUAGCUAGUUGGCGGGGUAACGGCCCACCAAGGCGACGAUGUCUAGGGGAUCUGAGAGGGUGACCCGCCACACUGGUACUGAGACACGGACCAGACUCCUACGGGAGGCAGCAGUAAGGAAUAUUGGUCAAUGGGGGCAACUCUGAACCAGCCAUGCCGCGUGCAGGAAGACAGCCCUCUGGGUCGUAAACUGCUUUUAUUCGGGAAUAAACCUACUUACGUGUAAGUAGCUGAAUGUACCGAAGGAAUAAGGAUCGGCUAACUCCGUGCCAGCAGCCGCCGUAA
rnacentral:rRNA from 1 species